AUUUGCACCACUCAUAACCAUCUCAAAGUCCCCCAAUCUUAAUCUGCCAAAUCCUACCAUCCCUUACCUUUACCUCACUACCACCACAGUCUCAAACACCUCUUAAAUCUUCCUCCUCAUUCUCUGUCUCCUCAUCGCCUUCGCUCAUCAAUGCUUCAUUUCCUCUGACUCUAAACUUUUCCUCAAGGGUCACACCCUCAUCCAUUGUUUCGCUUCUCUCCAAUCCGCUCUUGUUUCCUUCCUCUUUCUCAUCCUCUCCGUUUCUCUCUUAAUCUCCGAGUCAAUUUCUCUCCUUCCCUUCCCCUCUAAACUUUUCUUCGCUCUCGCUACCGUUGUUUUUUACCUCCAAUAUUCUAUCUCCUCUGUCGUUGCCUCUGUUCAUACCUCCCAUUCCCACGAUCGAUUGCGCCUGCACCUCGGUUGUGUGCCUGACUCGUGCACCAUGGGUCAUACCAAAUUGUGCGCCUUUGCUGUCUCCUUGGAUAGAUCGCAUCGAUUGUUGCCUCACCAACCUCCUUGCUCACGCGACUGCCUCUGCGCGCGUUCGUUGUUUUGUUGAUUGUGGGUUGUGGCUUGAUUGUUGUUUGUUUGUUAGAGCGGAUUUGUUUGAAUUGGUUGGGUUUGAGUUUGGGUUUCUGAAACUAGUUGUCAGUAGGACCAAGAUUUUAAAUGUUUGGACUCUAUGUGGUUUUAUCUAUACACAAUAUAAUCUCACAGAUUGAAGGUGCUAAAAUGGAUUAAGAAAUAAGAGAUAUUCUCAAAUAAGUAUGUAUUCAUUCCCAUUGUCUUAUGGUAAGUAAAGGUGUUAUGAUAUUUACACACGUUUAACCAGUUUGACUCCUGCUAAUUGUGGUGCUAAAAUUUUGACUUUCAAUACAUCUAGGGGUCACUAGAAUCUAUUGAACUUGUGAAACUUUGGUGGAAGAUCACGAUCACAACCUAUAACUCACUGCAUGUUAUUGCUAGAUUCAGUUCGAAUGGCUAACCGCCUAACCCAAUGGGGUUUGAACCUUUGUUAAGAAAGUUUGCCCUGGACAUUUAUGAAGCGGAAACAAUCCCUGAAAAGAAGGACAUGGUUGCUCAAAAUCCUCUCAUGGUGUCUGAGGUUCCUCAGCAAAGGAACAAAACUGAUUGCGGAUAUUUUGUCCUUUCUUAUAUAAGUAAGUUUGUGCAAUGUGUCCCAAUGAAUUUUUGCGUUACUAAGGGCUACCCUUACUUUGUAAGUUAUGUAGUCUUGCUU